rnacentral:rRNA from 1 species
AUACGUAGGGUGCAAGCGUUAAUCGGAAUUACUGGGCGUAAAGCGUGCGCAGGCGGUUUUUUAAGACAGAUGUGAAAUCCCCGGGCUUAACCUGGGAACUGCCUUUGUGACUGCAAGGCUAGAGUACGGCAGAGGGGGAUGGAAUUCCGCGUGUAGCCGUGAAAUGCGUAGAUAUGCGGAGGAACACCGGUGGCGAAGGCAAUCGCCUGGUGCUAUACUGGCGCUCAGGCGCGAAAGCGUGGGGAGCAAACAGGAUUAGAUACCCGGGUAGUCCACGCCCUAAACGAUGUCAACUGGUUUGGGGGUCUUCAGUGCCUCAGUAACGAAGCUAACGCGUGAAGUUGACCGCCUGGGGAGUACGGCCGCAAGGUUGAAACUCAAAGGAAUUGACGGGG